AUCAAAUAACAAUAAUACAAUAAUGCACAAUUUAUAAGAACUGGCAAAUCAAAAAAAAAUAAAGCACUAACUCCGACUUUUACAAGAGCAUCAACCUCCAUAUUGCUCUCCCCCAUACACAUGCACAAUCUGAACCUCCAAACUCUUACAAACAUUAAUCAACUCUCUAAUUAAACUUUGUAAACCCCAAGAAUAAUAUGCUUUCCCUUUGAUCCACUUCACAAUAUUCAUAGAGUCCCCUUCAAUUUCAAUUCAAUAACAGUAAGCUUAUUAAAACCACUUUUCCGUGCAGCCCUACACUCUGCCUCAUUAACUGUAGUAAUUCCAAUAAGACAGAAAAAAUUAAUCAAUAAAUCACCUCUACUGUCCAUGAUGAUCCCACCAAUACCCGCAGGGCCUGGAAUGCCCGUAGAACCAUUUCUCGAUACUAUUUCAAUGUGUGUUUCACUUUGAUUGUUUAGAGCCUCGGAUGUAUACAAACGGCACCCCUUUAUUUGAGAAAGAGAGAGAGAGAGGAGUGGUGUACAUGUAAAAGCAAGUGGUGGCAUG
rnacentral:lncRNA from 1 species